rnacentral:rRNA from 1 species
GAGUUUGAUCAUGGCUCAGAACGAACGCUGGCGGCAGGCCUAACACAUGCAAGUCGAGCGCACCACUUCGGUGGCGAGCGGCGGACGGGUUAGUAACGCGUGGGAACGUACCCUUUUCUACGGAAUAGCCUCGGGAAACUGAGAGUAAUACCGUAUACGCCCUUCGGGGGAAAGAUUUAUCGGAGAAGGAUCGGCCCGCGUUAGAUUAGAUAGUUGGUGGGGUAACGGCCUACCAAGUCUACGAUCUAUAGCUGGUUUUAGAGGAUGAUCAGCAACACUGGGACUGAGACACGGCCCAGACUCCUACGGGAGGCAGCAGUGGGGAACCUUGGACAAUGGGCGCAAGCCUGAUCCAGCCAUGCCGCGUGUGUGAUGAAGGCCCUAGGGUCGUAAAGCACUUUCGCCAGGGAUGAUAAUGACAGUACCUGGUAAAGAAACCCCGGCUAACUCCGUGCCAGCAGCCGCGGUAAUACGGAGGGGGUUAGCGUUGUUCGGAAUUACUGGGCGUAAAGCGUACGUAGGCGGAUCAGAAAGUAUGGGGUGAAAUCCCAGGGCUCAACCCUGGAACUGCCUCAUAAACUCCUGGUCUUGAGUUCGAGAGAGGUGAGUGGAAUUCCGAGUGUAGAGGUGAAAUUCGUAGAUAUUCGGAGGAACACCAGUGGCGAAGGCGGCUCACUGGCUCGAUACUGACGCUGAGGUACGAAAGUGUGGGGAGCAAACAGGAUUAGAUACCCUGGUAGUCCACACCGUAAACGAUGAAUGCCAGUCGUCGGGUAGCAUGCUAUUCGGUGACACACCUAACGGAUUAAGCAUUCCGGCCUGGGGGA